rnacentral:misc_RNA from 1 species
GAUGAGAACGCAGCGAAAUGCGAUACGUAAUGUGAAUUGCAGAAUUCAGUGAAUCAUCGAAUCUUUGAACGCAUAUUGCGCUCUUUGGUAUUCCGAAGAGCAUGCUUGUUUGAGUAUCAGUAAACACCUCAACCUCUUCUUGAUUUUUCAAAAGGAGGGUGGACUUGAGCUAUCCCAACAACCUUUACCGGUCGGCGGGCGGCUUGAAAUGCAGGUGCAGCUGGACUUUUAUCUGAGCUAAAAGCAUAUCUAUUUAGUCCUCGUCAAACAGGAUUAUUACUUUUGCUGCAGCUAACAUAAAGGAUAAUUGUCCUCUUUGCUGACUGAUGCAGGAUUUUACGACACUUUAUGUGUUGUUCAACUCGAUCUCAAAUCAAGUAAGACUACCCGCUGAACUUAAGCAUAUCAAUAAGCGGAGGA